rnacentral:rRNA from 1 species
GAGUUUGAUCGUGGCUCAGAUUGAACGCUGGCGGCAUGCCUUACACAUGCAAGUCGAACGGUAGCAGGUCUUUUUGGAUGCUGAUGAGUGGCGGACGGGUGAGGAAUACAUCGGAAUCUGCUCAGUCGUGGGGGAUAACGCAUGGAAACGUGCGCUAAUACCGCAUACGACCUUCGGGUGAAAGCAGGGGAAUCUUUAGGGAUCCUUGCGCGAUUGAAUGAGCCGAUGUCGGAUUAGCUAGUUGGUAGGGUAAAAGCCUACCAAGGCGACGAUCCGUAGCUGGUCUGAGAGGAUGAUCAGCCACACUGGGACUGAGACACGGCCCAGACUCCUGCGGGAGGCAGCAGUGGGGAAUAUUGGACAAUGGGGGCAACCCUGAUCCAGCCAUACCGCGUGGGUGAAGAAGGCCUUCUGGGUUGUAAAGCCCUUUUGUUGGGGAAGAAAAACAACGGGUUAAUACCCCGUUGGUAUGACGGUACCCAAAGAAUAAGCACCGGCUAACUUCGUGCCAGCAGCCGCGGUAAUACGAAGGGUGCAAGCGUUACUCGGAAUUACUGGGCGUAAAGGGUGCGUAGGUGGUUGCGCCAGUCUGUCGUGAAAGCCCUGGGCUUAACCUGGGAAUGGCGAUGGAAACUGUGCAACUAGAGUGUGACAGAGGGUGGUGGAAUUCCUGGUGUAGCAGUGAAAUGCGUAGAGAUCAGGAGGAACAUUCGUGGCGAAGGCGGCCACCUGGGUCAACACUGACACUGAGGCACGAAAGCGUGGGGAGCAAACAGGAUUAGAUACCCUGGUAGUCCACGCCCUAAACGAUGCGAACUGGAUGUUGGGUCCAACUUGGGAUUCAGUAUCGAAGCUAACGCAUUAAGUUCGCCGCCUGGGGAGUACGGUCGCAAGACUGAAACUCAAAGGAAUUGACGGGGGCCCGCACAAGCGGUGGAGUAUGUGGUUUAAUUCGAUGCAACGCGCAGAACCUUACCUGGCCUUGACAUGCACGGAACCUUUG